rnacentral:rRNA from 1 species
UACGUAGGGUGCAAGCGUUUAAUCGGAAUUACUGGGCGUAAAGCGUGCGCAGGCGGUUUUGUAAGUCUGACGUGAAAUCCCCCGGGCUCAACCUGGGAAUUGCGUUUGGAGACUGCAAGGCUGGAGUCUGGCAGAGGGGGGGGUAGAAUUCCACGUGUAGCAGUGAAAAUGCGUAGAGAUGUGGAGGAACACCGAUGGCGAAGGCAGCCCCC